rnacentral:tRNA from 1 species
GGGCUCGUGGCUUAGCUUGGAUAUAGCGCCGGGCUUCUAACCCGGAUGUCGAGGGUUCAAUUCCCUCCGGGCCCG